CGUGCAGCCGGGCUGACAAGUCAGAUGUGAAAUCCCGAGGCUUAACCUCGGAACUGCAUUUGAAACUGUUGGUCUUGAGUAUCGGAGAGGUCAUCGGAAUUCCUUGUGUAGCGGUGAAAUGCGUAGAUAUAAGGAAGAACACCAGUGGCGAAGGCGGAUGACUGGACGACAACUGACGGUGAGGCGCGAAAGCGUGGGGAGCGAACA
rnacentral:rRNA from 1 species